GACGAACGCUGGCGGCGCGCCUAAUACAUGCAAGUCGAACGGCUGGACUUCGGUCCGGCAGUGGCGGACGGGUGAGUAACACGUGGGUGACCUGCCCUGGAGUGGGGAAUAACGCUGGGAAACCAGCGCUAAUACCGCAUACGCUUAGUGCUUCGCGCAUUAAGUAAAGCCUUGUGCGCUUCAGGAGGGGCCUGCGCCCGAUUAGCUAGUCGGUGGGGUAAUGGCCUACCGAGGCUCCGAUCGGUAGCUGGUCUGAGAGGAUGACCAGCCACACUGGGACUGAGACACGGCCCAGACUCCUACGGGAGGCAGCAGUAAGGAAUCUUCCACAAUGGGCGCAAGCCUGAUGGAGCGACGCCGCGUGCGCGAAGAAGCCCUUCGGGGUGUAAAGCGCUUUUCUCGGGGAUGAUAUCAGACAGUACCCGAGGAAGAAGCUUCGGCUAACUACGUGCCAGCAGCCGCGGUAAAAC
rnacentral:rRNA from 1 species